GGAUCAUUAAAGAGUUUAAUAAAACUCCUAAACCCUUGUGAACUUACUGGUGUUUGGCUCGCCAGAUAUAGUCUGGUCCGUAAGCAAAUCGACUGCCUGCCUGUGUAACAGGCAGGUAAGCUUUUGUCGCGGGGUCCCGGAUCAACCCGGGCUAGAUAGCCACUUAACUAUAUACUUUUUAUAAAAUCUGUGAACUUACUAGGUUGGAUUCUCGCCAGAGAUAGUCUGGUUUCUGCUUCGCGGAUCGCCUACCCGUGACACCUGUCACAGGCAGGUAUGCUUCUGCCGCGGGUCCGUAAGUAAAUCAUCUGUUUCGCAAGGGACGGCGAUUUACCUGUGGAAGAGGUCCUCUAACUAUAUUCUUAGUAUAGUUUGUUCACUAGAUCAAACAUUCUGAAUAAAAACUUAAACUAGUUAAAACUUUCAACAACGGAUCUCUUGGUUCUGGCAUCGAUGAAGAACGCAGCGAAAUGCGAUAAGUAAUGUGAAUUGCAGAAUUCAGUGAAUCAUCGAAUCUUUGAACGCACAUUGCGCCCAUUAGUAUUCUAGUGGGCAUGCCUGUUCGAGCGUCAUUUCAACCCUUAAGCCCCUGUUGCUUAGCGUUGGGAGCCUACAGCCUGCUGUAGCUCCUUAAAGGUAGUGGCGGAGUCGGUUCACACUCUAGACGUAGUAAAAUCUUUAUCUCGCCUAUGGAUGAGCCGGCGCCUUGCCGUAAAACCCCUAAUCUUUCACAAGGUUGACCUCGGAUCAGGUAGGAAUACCCGCUGAACUUAAGCAUAUCAAUAAGCGGAGGAAAAGAAACCAACAGGGAUUGCCCUAGUAACGGCGAGUGAAGCGGCAACAGCUCAAAUUUGAAAUCUGGCCUUCGGGUCCGAGUUGUAAUUUGCAGAGGAUGCUUUGGGCGCGGUGCCUUCCGAGUUCCCUGGAACGGGACGCCUUAGAGGGUGAGAGCCCCGUACGGUUGGACACCAAGCCUCUGUAAAGCUCCUUCGACGAGUCGAGUAGUUUGGGAAUGCUGCUCUAAAUGGGAGGUAAAUUUCUUCUAAAGCUAAAUAUUGGCCAGAGACCGAUAGCGCACAAGUAGAGUGAUCGAAAGAUGAAAAGCACUUUGAAAAGAGGGUUAAAUAGCACGUGAAAUUGUUGAAAGGGAAGCGUUUACGACCAGACCUUUUCGCAGCGGAUCAUCCGGUGUUCUCACCGGUGCACUUCGCUGGGUUGAGGCCAGCAUCGGUUUCCGCAGGGGGAUAAAAGCCUGGGGAACGUAGCUCCCUCGGGAGUGUUAUAGCCCCUCGCAUAAUACCCUUGCGGGGACCGAGGACCGCGCU
rnacentral:rRNA from 1 species